rnacentral:tRNA from 1 species
GGGCGCCUAGCUCAGCGGGAGAGCGCUUCCCUUACAAGGAAGAGGUCGGGGGUUCGAAUCCCUCGGCGCCCA